rnacentral:rRNA from 1 species
CCGGUUGAUCCCGCCGGACCUGACUGCUAUCGGAUUGAUACUAAGCCAUGCGAGUCAUUGUAGCAAUACAAGGCAGACGGCUCAGUAACGCGUAGUCAACCUAACCUAUGGAUGGGAAUAACCUCGGGAAACUGAGAAUAAUGCCCAAUAGAACACUAUACCUGGAAUGGUUUGUGUCCCAAAUGAUUUAUCGCCGUAGGAUGGGACUGCGGCCUAUCAGUUUGUUGGUGAGGUAAUGGCCCACCAAGACUAUUACAGGUACGGGCUCUGAGAGGAGUAGCCCGGAGAUGGGUACUGAGACACGGACCCAGGCCCUAUGGGGCGCAGCAGGCGAGAAAACUUUGCAAUGUGCGAAAGCACGACAAGGUUAAUCCGAGUGAUUUGUGCUAAACGAAUCUUUUGUUAGUCCUAGAAACACUAACGAAUAAGGGGUGGGCAAGUUCUGGUGUCAGCCGCCGCGGUAAAACCAGCACCUCAAGUGGUCAGGAUGAUUAUUGGGCCUAAAGCAUCCGUAGCCGGCUCUGUAAGUUUUCGGUUAAAUCUGUACGCUCAACGUACAGGCUGCCGGGAAUACUGCAGAGCUAGGGAGUGGGAGAGGUAGACGGUACUCGGUAGGAAGGGGUAAAAUCCUUUGAUCUAUUGAUGACCACCUGUGGCGAAGGCGGUCUACCAGAACACGUCCGACGGUGAGGGAUGAAAGCUGGGGGAGCAAACCGGAUUAGAUACCCGGGUAGUCCCAGAUGUAAACUAUGCAAACUCAGUGAUGCAUUGGCUUGUGGCCAAUGCAGUGCUGCAGGGAAGCCGUUAAGUUUGCCGCCUGGGAAGUACGUACGCAAGUAUGAAACUUAAAGGAAUUGGCGGGGGAGCACCACAAGGGGUGAAGCCUGCGGUUCAAUUGGAGUCAACGCCGGGAAUC